rnacentral:rRNA from 1 species
UUUUUUUUAGAGUUUGAUCCAUGGCUCAGAUUGAACGCUGNNGGCAGGCUUAACACAUGCAAGUCGAGCGGGGAAAAGUAGCUUGCUACUUAACNUAGCGGCGGACGGGUGAGUAAUACUUAGGAAUCUGCCUAUUAGUGGGGGACAACAUUUCGAAAGGAAUGCUAAUACCGCAUACGUCCUACGGGAGAAAGCAGGGGAUCACUUGUGACCUUGCGCUAAUAGAUGAGCCUAAGUCGGAUUAGCUAGUUGGUGGGGUAAAGGCCUACCAAGGCGACGAUCUGUAGCGGGUCUGAGAGGAUGAUCCGCCACACUGGGACUGAGACACGGCCCAGACUCCUACGGGAGGCAGCAGUGGGGAAUAUUGGACAAUGGGGGGAACCCUGAUCCAGCCAUGCCGCGUGUGUGAAGAAGGCCUUUUGGUUGUAAAGCACUUUAAGCGAGGAGGAGGCUACUCUAGUUAAUACCUAGGGAUAGUGGACGUUACUCGCAGAAUAAGCACCGGCUAACUCUGUGCCAGCAGCCGCGGUAAUACAGAGGGUGCGAGCGUUAAUCGGAUUUACUGGGCGUAANNCGUGCGUAGGUGGCCAAUUAAGUCAAAUNUCAAAUCCCCNNGNUUAACUNGGGAAUUGCNUUCGNUACUGGUGGCUAGAGUAUGGAGNGGANC